rnacentral:lncRNA from 1 species
CUUACAUGAACUGACUCUGCUGAAGAAAAUGAAUUUACUACAUGGAAUCACACUCCUCUGAAAAUAUUUCUGAGUCUCCACAACCUACAGAUAUAUAAUAAGCCAAAGAAUACUUAUAGACAUUGAUCUAUUAAGCCGUUUUCCUAAAAUACCUACAGUCUUUUCAUAUGAAACAGAAAAAAAAUCAUUAAAGCUAUGGUUUGCCAGACAAUUACUUUGUCAAAUCUCAAGAAAUUGCAUAAUAAAUUGUAUACAUGCAUCAAACAUGAGCAGCAGAGGACUAUAACAAGCUAUGUGUUUCCAGUCCACUUGCUCUUUCAUCCAAACAGUAGUUUUUGUUUUCAAGAACAAUUCUAUAUCCUCUUUGAAGGCUUUCAUAAAAUAUGGCUAUACAUUUAUCUAUCAAACUAAGUAGAAAUAAUUGAAACACUUAAUAUGCACAGUAAUAGGGAAACGCACGAAUAACUUCAUUAUUAAUGUCUAUUGAUUAUUUAUAUUUUCAAAUAGGCAGUGUAGCUGUGAGUAUUUUUAUCAUGUAAAUCUAUAUGUGUAUUUUGGUUUUACCUGUUUAUUGGCAAAUUUACAGUCCACAUUAUGGGGAUUUUUAUUGCUUUACACAUUUAUUUGAUAUGUGCAUAACCAAGGUCAGUUUGCAAACCGACUAGUGUUUACUCAAUUUGAUUACUGUGUUACAUUUCUGAGCUUAUUUUCCCUUUGGAAAAUUAACUGUACAAGAAAGCCUAGUAAAUCUUUACUUAAAAAUUCCAAACUUUAGAUUGAUUUCAGCAGUGAGUUUGUAUUGAUCUCAAAGGCUUUGCGUUCCUAACUAAAAACUAAUCUUUAUUUCACCCUUUAGUGACUGCAGUCAUAAAUAUGCUCACUCCUACCAGUGUGGAGUGGAUUAAUGGUUAUUGAAGAUUGGGCCUUCCAACUGAGCCUGGGAACCCUAACCUUUGGAGGACAACACGAAGGCAUUUACCCCUUGUCAGCUAUAAUCCCUAGGUCCAUUUUAGACAUUUACCUGAGUGUUAAAGAGGAGGCAGAGUAGGGGUUGGGGAAUAAAACUCCACAGAUUUCACUCAGCUAUUAAUCACUCACUGUUAGAUUGACUGUUGUACCUGACCCUGGCUUCUUUUGGCCAUUGAAGUCAUCAGAAGGUAUAGCUACACGUCUCGGCUUAGAACUCAGGUCAACUCCUCCUGGGUCAGCACCCUACUGUCUGUCUUCCAGGUGGAACUUAUUGUAUUGCUAAUGUCCCCCUGUCAUUGUUGGUCCAACUUUGCUGUAUUAAUGGAACAAACACUUGGCAGAGUUAAGUUCAACCAAUUUACAAGAUCUAAUUAUGGAGAAGAAAAUAGUAAAAAAGGAACAGAAAAGAUUUGUUAUCAAGAAUGAUCAAUAAUGUGCCAGGCAGCAAUAGACAGAUGACUGACAAAUGAUAAUAAAACUAUAAAAUAGCAUUUCUCAAAGUAUGGUCCCUGGCAUCUCUUGAAGCACAAUAUCACAUGAGAGUGCUAAAUUAAACUCAAGGGUGCCGGGACUCUGAACCUUAACAACCACUCUCCGAAACUCUUUUGUUCUCCAAAGUAUGAGGUCGACUGCAUAAAGUUGGUGUGUUUGAAGGUUCUGCUCCUUUUAACUACUUUCUAUGGUUGAUAGCAAGAAUUUUAAUUUUCUUGGAUCUGAUGGGCAAAGUUACUACUAUUUGCUCACCCAAUAUUCAUAUUUUUUUCCUCUGUAAAAUAAGAACUAUAAUUUUUAUCUGGGUUCCUUGUUGCCCAGUUAAUAUUUUUCCAAGCUGCCUGAUGGCCAGAUGCAAGAGGGGAUUUUAUAUAGGAAUUACAAAGUCUUCACUAAAGGGCAGGAACAUGCCCUCUUCCUUUUCUCCAAUAUGCUGCUUAGAAUGAGCCUGUAUCAUCUGGACCACCAGCAGCAUAUUCUGGACCACAAGGACAAGGCUGACACUUAGGAUUGGUGGGUCAGUGAGCUGGAAGGGACCUGGGAUCCUGAUGAUUUCAUGAAAUCGCUGCACCAAUUUGGGAUUGCCUAUAACUGUACCACUUUUACAUGAGAAAAUGAAACAUUGCAUGCUUUAAUCCCUGUUGAGGAGGGCAGAUGGUCAUUGUAAUUCAUGACCAAAUGAGAUUACCAGCUGGCAUGGACACCAUUUAGGAGCAUGAGUUCAUUUCAAGCUAAAUCCCCCAGCCUCCCCGACGUGUGGGGAGGUGAGGAUGAAAGUUGUAGCUGAAUACUAGUAGUGAUUUUGUGAAAUUUCUGUGGGUUUCGGAGUCCUAGGAAAGCUCCUGAUCUUGCUUGUAAUUUCAAAAAUGUAUAUGUGCCUCUGACCAUUGUUCACAGAAAAGAGUUGGGUCUGUAGUAGCCAGGUGGCCAGAGGGGAUACAGGUGGUGGGGCAGAGGGGACAGACGCACAGGGUGGAUAGCAGCACUAAGAACAAUUAUGCAUACAAGAAUCGACAUUUUCUUUUAUGGCAACUGAUCAUUCAGAGGCGCCUUCCUAGCUUCAUAAAAUUAACCUUUAUAAGACUUAAGGCUCUAACUGUUACAUAUGGAUGAAAUGCUAUGUCUUAAAGACACUUGAAGUUUGCCAGGCCUGGCAUGGUGGUGCACACCUGUAAUUCCAGUGGCUCAAGAGGCUGAGGCAGGAAGAUUGAGAGUUCAAAGCCAGCCUCAGCAAUUUAGUGAGACCCUAAGUAACUCAGUGAAACCCUGUCUCUAAAUAAAAUACAAAAAUAGGCUGGGGAUGUAUGUGGCUCAGUGUUUGAGUGCCCCUGGAU